UACGUAGGGGGCAAGCGUUGUCCGGAAUCAUUGGGCGUAAAGCGCACGUAGGCGGCCCGGUAAGUCCGUUGUGAAAGUCAGAGGCUCAACCUCUGGAGGCCAAUGGAUACUGCCGGGCUAGAGUCCGGAAGAGGCGAGUGGAAUUCCUGGUGUAGCGGUGGAAUGCGCAGAUAUCAAGAGGAACACCUGCGGCGAAGGCGGGUUGCUGGGCCGACACUGACGCUGAAGCGCGAAAGCUAGGGGAGCGAACGGG
rnacentral:rRNA from 1 species